rnacentral:rRNA from 1 species
UUGCGCAAUGGGCGAAAGCCUGACGCAGCGACGCCGCGUGAGUGAUGAAGGCCUUCGGGUUGUAAAGCUCUGUGGGGCGAGACGAAUAAGUGCAAGCUAAUACCUUGCAUGAUGACGGUAUCUCCUUAGCAAGCACCGGCUAACUCUGUGCCAGCAGCCGCGGUAAGACAGAGGGUGCAAACGUUGUUCGGAAUUACUGGGCGUAAAGCGAGUGUAGGCGGUUUCCUAAGUCAGGUGUGAAAGCCCCGGGCUCAACCCGGGAAGUGCACUUGAAACUGGGAGGCUAGAGUACUGGAGAGGUUGGUGGAAUUCUCGGUGUAGAGGUGAAAUUCGUAGAUAUCGAGAGGAACACCGGUGGCGAAGGCGGCCAACUGGACAGAUACUGACGCUGAGACUCGAAAGCGUGGGGAGCAAACA